CCCAAACCCCUGUGACAUACCUUACUGUUGCCUCGGCGGAUCAGCCCGCUCCCGGUAAAACGGGACGGCCCGCCAGAGGACCCCUAAACUCUGUUUUCUAUAUGUAACUUCUGAGUAAAACCAUAAAUAAAUCAAAACUUUCAACAACGGAUCUCUUGGUUCUGGCAUCGAUGAAGAACGCAGCAAAAUGCGAUAAGUAAUGUGAAUUGCAGAAUUCAGUGAAUCAUCGAAUCUUUGAACGCACAUUGCGCCCGCCAGUAUUCUGGCGGGCAUGCCUGUUCGAGCGUCAUUUCAACCCUCAAGCCCUCGGGUUUGGUGUUGGGGAUCGGCGAGCCUUUCUGGCAAGCCGGCCCCGAAAUCUAGUGGCGGUCUCGCUGCAGCCUCCAUUGCGUAGUAGUAAAACCCUCGCAACUGGAACGCGGCGCGGCCAAGCCGUUAAACCCCCAACUUCUGAAUGUUGACCUCGGAUCAGGUAGGAAUACCCGCUGAACUUAAGCAUAU
rnacentral:rRNA from 1 species